rnacentral:rRNA from 1 species
CCUACGGGAGGCAGCAGUGGGGAAUAUUGGACAAUGGGGGCAACCCUGAUCCAGCCAUGCCGCGUGUGUGAAGAAGGCCCUCGGGUUGUAAAGCACUUUCAGUGAGGAAGAACGCCUGGUGGUUAAUACCCAUCAGGAAAGACAUCACUCACAGAAGAAGCACCGGCUAACUCCGUGCCAGCAGCCGCGGUAAUACGGAGGGUGCGAGCGUUAAUCGGAAUUACUGGGCGUAAAGCGCGCGUAGGUGGCUUGAUAAGCCGGUUGUGAAAGCCCCGGGCUCAACCUGGGAACGGCAUCCGGAACUGGCAAGCUAGAGUGCAGGAGAGGAAGGUAGAAUUCCCGGUGUAGCGGUGAAAUGCGUAGAGAUCGGGAGGAAUACCAGUGGCGAAGGCGGCCUUAUGGACUGACACUGACACUGAGGUGCGAAAGCGUGGGUAGCAAACAGGAUUAGAUACCCGAGUAGUC